GAAUCUUUUCGCUGGGAUAUAUACCGUGGCGACACGAGCAGAUGCAUCAGUACCACAGUGAAUCCUAGAGGGUCUUCAUUUGUAUUAAGCAAACUGCCAUUGACAAAAUGAUGCUAAAAACGUUGGCAGUUCUAUUCUUCGUGGCUGUGUGCGCUGCUAUACCAGUGGAUGACAUCCAGCUUUCCGAAGACGAGCUCGCUCCAGCCGUAGAUCCCCAGACGAAUGUUCUGGAUGACCAAGCAGACUUGAAGACUGACGCAACCUUCUGGCGCUUUGGAGCCUUCAGAUACCCACAUGUGCGACGACAAUACUAUGUACCAAGAGUUUACUCCUACUACAGACCUGUCUACACACCAUACUGGGGCGCCCACUGGUAAACGAUUGGAAACAAAAUUACUGAUUAGAUUAAUUAAAUAAAUUAUAAAUUGAAAACAUAAAGAA